GUAUGUCCUAGAAGCCAAUAUGGCUGACACAUUGUAAUAAUUCUAGGACAUAAUUUUAUACUUAAUAUAUUGAUAUGAUCAAUAAAAGUAUAAUUGUUUUUCAUUCAAGUGUGAUGUGUCCUUGAAUCGUCCAUAGAAUUAGUUUCGAUACAUAUUCUUAAAGUAUUGAGAAUUAGAGAUAUGUAUUUAAUUUCUAAAUAUUUUCGAUCAUAGGAUCAUCGUGAGGACGGUGAUAGAUCUGGAU
rnacentral:lncRNA from 1 species